UACGUCAGUGGCAGACGGGUGAGUAACGCGUGGGAACGUACCUUUUGGUUCGGAACAACUGAGGGAAACUUCAGCUAAUACCGGAUAAGCCCUUACGGGGAAAGAUUUAUCGCCGAAAGAUCGGCCCGCGUCUGAUUAGCUAGUUGGUGAGGUAAUGGCUCACCAAGGCGACGAUCAGUAGCUGGUCUGAGAGGAUGAUCAGCCACAUUGGGACUGAGACACGGCCCAAACUCCUACGGGAGGCAGCAGUGGGGAAUAUUGGACAAUGGGGGAAACCCUGAUCCAGCCAUGCCGCGUGAGUGAUGAAGGCCCUAGGGUUGUAAAGCUCUUUUGUGCGGGAAGAUAAUGACGGUACCGCAAGAAUAAGCCCCGGCUAACUUCGUGCCAGCAGCCGCGGUAAUACGAAGGGGGCUAGCGUUGCUCGGAAUCACUGGGCGUAAAGGGUGCGUAGGCGGGUUUCUAAGUCAGAGGUGAAAGCCUGGAGCUCAACUCCAGAACUGCCUUUGAUACUGGAAGUCUUGAGUUCGGGAGAGGUGAGUGGAACUGC
rnacentral:rRNA from 1 species